rnacentral:rRNA from 1 species
AUACGUAGGGGGCGAGCGUUGUCCGGAAUGAUUGGGCGUAAAGGGCGCGUAGGCGGCCCGGUAAGUCUGGAGUGAAAGUCCUGUUUUUAAGAUGGGAAUUGCUUUGGAUACUGUCGGGCCUGAGUGCAGGAGAGGUAAGUGGAAUUCCCAGUGGAGCGGUGAAAUGCGUAGAGAUUGGGAGGAACACCAGUGGCGAAGGGGACUUACUGGACUGUAACUGACGCUGAGGCGCGAAAGUGUGGGGAGCAAACAGGAUUAGAUACCCUGGUAGUCCACACUGUAAACGAUGAAUGCUAGGUGUAGGGGGUAUCGACCCCUUCUGUGCCGCAGUCAACACAAUAAGCAUUCCGCCUGGGGAGUACGGCCGCAAGGUUGAAACUCAAAUGAAUUGACGGGG